AGACCAGGCAAGAAGCUUUGUAUGUAUUUACUUCCUAUUAAAAAGCAAAAGAACAAUGUAGCACGUAACCCUAAUGAACAGAAACAGCUAUGCAUGCUUGAAAAUUCAUUUAUUCUCAGCAAAUGUGCCUUGUACAUGGUGGGGGAAUUUCCUAAAGCCUAAAAUGGGGCUUUAAUUUACAACCCAUCGGUGCUUCCUUGGUACCUUCAAAUUUACCAUCAGCUGUGAGAAGGGAGGGGAGGCUCCAUGUACAUCCAUCACUCUGUAUCCAGGUUUGGAGGAGCCCAGGGUCUAGGGUGUGAUUCUUCAUGAAAAGUCACACAUGAGUAACAUAAAGUCAAGACUGUUUUGAGCUCUAAGAACAUGAAUACAGUAAUAAAAAUGCACCUAGAGCAACCCAGUGGCCUUGGUUGUUAUUUCUGUUCCUGGAUAAUCCACCUAUCCCGUCAUCACCAAAUUUUAAUUUGUGUUACUUUCACAGACUUAACAUGAACUGAACUAAAACUUGAAAUAAAGUAUUGAUUUUCUAACAUGGAUUCAAACUUUCUUUCUCACCUUUUUCCUUCCUUCCUUCCUUCUAUUUUGUGCACUUGCCUAACACACACACACACACACACACACACACACACGAACAUUUGUAUAUAUGUGUACCCAUAGUAUAGAUGCUGAGCCCAGAACUAAAGAAACACAUUGUUUUCUUGGGGAAAAAAAAAGGUGGUCUGUCUGUUCAAAUCAAAACUCUGGUUAUAUAUAUUUUUAACUAAAAAGUCAAAACAAUGUACUAGGUUAUCAUACAUUUUUUCUUAAUGUAGCUUGCUGAAAAAUCAUGAUAUCGUACUUAAGAGGGCUAGGAUUCAGAAUGACCUAGUCAUUAUUCAAUGCCAUAUUGCAUUAUAGAAACCUAUAUUUAUGUAUCUCUUUAUCUAGCUUUAUCCUCUUAUAAUCAAAGGUACUAAACAGUUUGAAAUUAAACAUUCCAGAUUGGAAAACAACUACUCAUCUGUACCCUAUGUUUUCGCUUUGGUAAUGGAUGAGAAUUUGGCUCAGGACAUCGGUUACAAGUGAGACAUUUUAGUAAGAACAUCAAUCUGGUGUUUGAAGUUAAGCUUGCCACUGAUUUUUCAGUAUCGUAUCACUGCAUAGAUCAUGUUUUACAAGUGCAGAUGGAUGGGUUUUAGACCAGGAUUUUCUGAUACCGCUCCAUGCUCUAGAGCUGCAGUUGACUAUCCCAACAGAUGACUCAAAGGUCCCCUAAGGGAAGAACCCAGCUGCAGUGGCAAAGGGCUGUCAUCAUGGAGCUUGUAAUGAAAAUGCACUCCUGGGGUCUGUACAUGACCUAAGGUGGGAUGCAUUUUGAGAGUAGUGUUGUAAAAGGAAUCCAGGAAAGAAAAAAGAAAAGUCAGAAAUAAAAAUCAGGGAGUUCCUGUUGUGGCACAGUGGAAACAAAACUGACUAGUAUCCAUGAGGAUGCAGGUUCAAUCCCUCAUUCAGUGGGUCAAGGAUCCAGUGUUGCCGUGAGCUGUAGUGUAGGUCACAGACACAGUCCAAUUUGACCCCUAGCCUGGGAACUUCCAUAAGCUGCCAGGUGAGGCCAUAAGAAGCAAAAGAAAAAGAUGAGGCUCACCACUGACAAAGGUUGGUGUGGCAGGCAUGGGUGGUUUUCUGUUCCAAGGUUUAGGCACAUAACAUAGUUCCAUAAGCCUCUUUACUUGGACAGCUUAACAUACACACAUGUGAAGUUCUGAUGACAGUAUAGGUCAUUUUAAACAUGGGGGAGGGCAGGGCACUCAGGGCUCAGCUCUGUACCUGGCCCUGGAAGCUCUGGGAUCAUGAUGGUCACUGUCACUGUUGCAUCGUGAUCUUCCCACUGCUUUUCUGUCUUUCUCCAUUUUUCUAUUAUUGGCUUCUCUUGCCCCCAGCUUCCUGCAGAUAUCCAUCUUCUGUCUUUCCAUCUUCUGAAACAUCCCAGGAUCCUAGCCUCUCACAGCAGCACCUUGUCCCCCAUACUUUCAUAGAAUCAUUCUUAAAAGUAGUGCUUCUUAGUGACAGGUGACCUUCUAAAUGGGUAGUUUCUAAAUCUAAAUAAUGCGAAAUAAUUUAUGCUGAGUCAGUACUCUGCUUCUCAUUGAGUAAUCAUAGCAAUAACAACAAUAAUAAUAAUAAAAGAUCUGUGUAUUGAUUCUAUGUACCAACCACUGUUGCAAGUGCCUUUCAUGUACAUCAGCUCACUUAAUUCUACCCCUAAACAAAGGCAUAGAAAGGUAGCAUAAAUCACUCAAUGCCCUGCAGCUCAUAAAUGCAGAUCAGGAUUUAAAUCUGAAAAGUCCAAUAUUAGCACAGGUUGUGGUUAACAGUGACUAGCUUUAUAUACAGGAAGCCUAGCAGAUAAAAUCAGGUAUUCUCUGUAGGAGUGCACUUGAACCUGCUGACCCAUGAAAGAAGGAGCUUCUAACAACUCGUCUUCUUGUCUUUGCCAAGUGCAUGUUGUGUAGGAUCAAAGGCUCCCACUGCAUGUUAAUUGAAUGCAUGACUGAAUAAACUGUUUAACAGUCUUUCUUCAGGGGGCCUUUAGAAUCAAAGAGAGAGUUUAUGACAGGGGAGGUCAUCACCAAGCAGUCAGAGGGGGCAUUACUGGUCUAAUUGAUCUGCAAAAUGUAAAAUUUGAGCCAUAUUUGGUAAAGGUAAUUUUGAAAGAUUGAAGUAGACAAGGUUGCAUUUUCUCUAUGUGGGAAAACUUUGGGAAUUCCAUAUUGUGGAGGUAUCUUGCCCAGCAUAACUUUCACACCAUUUUCUGUCUGGUGGUCUCUCGGCAUUUCCACAUAUGUAACACAAACAGCAAGGUAUUGGAAUAAACCAACAGGAUGGGCAGUUUUGACUAUGGGGAAGUCAUAGUUUGCACAGGAUAGUUUAACAUGGGGUGACACUGGCUGUGGGUAGUCGUGUGGACCCAUAUGGGGGGUGCCAUCUUUUGUGGGAACCCCGGUGGAAAUUUCAGGGAUGAUUUAGUGCUGUGGGGAGCAGCUGUGGGGCAGCAGGAUCAUGAAGCUGGUCUCUUAUGUCUCUGAGAAGCCAGGCUACAGUGUGCAAGAGGGUUGAGGAGCUCGCUGGGCCUUCACGCCCCACUGUCACACCAUUCUUUAGAGAAAAAUCUAGGGAGAGUAGAUGAUACUGAAUUGUCCACAUUUUAAAAAGGAUAGGAACGCUGUAAACCAGCUAUAACGGAAAAAGUAAAAAUCAUUAUUUAAAAAAAAUAAAAGGAUAGACAGAAACCCAAGUGAAUUUUUAU
rnacentral:lncRNA from 1 species